UACGUAGGGGGCAAGCGUUGUCCGGAAUCAUUGGGCGUAAAGCGCGUGUAGGCGGCCUUGUAAGUCCGUUCUGAAAGUCCGGGGCUCAACCCCGGGAGGCGGAUGGAUACUGCAAGGCUCGAGUCCGGAAGAGGCAAGUGGAAUUCCCGGUGUAGCGGUGAAAUGCGCAGAUAUCGGGAGGAACACCAAUGGCGAAGGCAGCUUGCUGGGACGGUACUGACACUGAGGGACGAAAGCUAGGGGAGCGAAAGGG
rnacentral:rRNA from 1 species